GAUGAAGAACGUAGCGAAAUGCGAUAAGUAAUGUGAAUUGCAGAAUUCAGUGAAUCAUCGAAUCUUUGAACGCACCUUGCGCUCUUUGGUAUUCCGAAGAGCAUGCCUGUUUGAGUGUCAUGAAAAUAUCAACCUUGACUUGGGUUUUGUGCUCUAGUCUCGGCUUGGAAUUGGGUGCUUGCCGCUUUUACGAGCGGCUCACCUUAAAUGUAUUAGCUGGAUCUGUCUUUGAGACUUGGUUUGACUUGGCGUAAUAAGUAUUUCGCUAAGGACAUUCUUCGGAGUGGCCUCGUUUCUAGGACGCUUGUCCACUUUCCAAUACAAGUUCCACCUCGUGGACAUGACUUUUUAUUAUCUGGCCUCAAAUCAGGUAGGACUACCCGCUGAACUUAAGCAUAUCAAUAAGCGGAGGA
rnacentral:misc_RNA from 1 species